rnacentral:misc_RNA from 1 species
GGAACUCAGUUUAAGCAUGGUGCUCUUCAUUACAUUGAUUUCAUAGAGGAAUCUCUUCCUGAUAUUGCUUGGGGGAAAAGAAGCCGUGUGAUAUUGGAUGUUGGGUGUGGGGUGGCAAGCUUUGGAGGUUAUCUUUUUGAAAGAGAUGUUCUUGCAAUGUCGUUUGCACCCAAGGAUGAGCAUGAAGCCCAAGUGCAGUUUGCACUUGAGCGGGGAAUCCCUGCCAUGUUGGCUGUUAUGGGCACCAAGAGACUACCAUUUCCCAGUUCUGUUUUUGAUAUCGUCCACUGUGCACGCUGUAGGGUCCCUUGGCAUAUUGAAGGAGGUAAAUUUCUUUUAGAGCUCAAUCGUGUGUUGCGACCUGGUGGU